rnacentral:tRNA from 1 species
GGGCUGGGGCUCAGUGGUAGGGUGCUCUCCUGGCACGGGUGAGGCCCUGGGUUCGAUCCUCAACACCACA